rnacentral:rRNA from 1 species
CCUACGGGAGGCUGCAGUGGGGAAUAUUGGGCAAUGGGCGCAAGCCUGACCCAGCAACGCCGCGUGAAGGAAGAAGGCUUUCGGGUUGUAAACUUCUUUUCUGAGGGACGAAGAAAGUGACGGUACCUCAGGAAUAAGCCACGGCUAACUACGUGCCAGCAGCCGCGGUAAUACGUAGGUGGCAAGCGUUAUCCGGAUUUAUUGGGUGUAAAGGGCGUGUAGGCGGGAAAGCAAGGCAGAGGUGAAAACUCAGGGCGAAACCCUGAGCCUGCAUUUGAAACUGGUGUUCUUGAGUGCUGGAGAGGCAAUCGGAAUUCCGUGUGUAGCGGUGAAAUGCGUAGAUAUACGGAGGAACACCAGUGGCGAAGGCGGAUUGCUGGACAGUAACUGACGCUGAGGCGCGAAAGCGUGGGGAGCAAACAGGAUUAGAUACCCCGGUAGUC